AACGAACGCUGGCGGCGUGCCUAACACAUGCAAGUCGAACGCGAACGGGUCUUCGGACCCUAGUAGAGUGGCGCACGGGUGAGUAACACGUGGGCAAUCUACCCAGGGAUUUGGGAUAACCAGGGGGAAACCCUGGCUAAUACCGAAUACGUCCAUGAGGCCUUCGGUCCUCAUGGAGAAAGGUGGCCUCUUCUCGAAAGCUGCCGUUCCUGGAUAAGCCCGCGGACCAUUAGCUUGUUGGUGAGGUAACGGCUCACCAAGGCCAUGAUGGUUAGCUGGUCUGAGAGGAUGAUCAGCCACACUGGGACUGACACACGGCCCAGACUCCUACGGGAGGCAGCAGUGGGGAAUCUUGCGCAAUGGGGGAAACCCGUGACGCAGCAACGCCGCGUGGGUGAUGAAGGCCCUUGGGUCGUAAAGCCCUGUCUGGAGGAAAGAAUCCCGCUCUCGCUAAUAUCGGGAGUGGAUGACGGUACCUCUGAAGGAAGCACCGGC
rnacentral:rRNA from 1 species